rnacentral:rRNA from 1 species
CGUAAGGUGGGGCGAGUGGGGGCGGUAGAGCGAGCCUUGCGAACGUUGUUGGGGAUUGCUGGGCUUGUAUGGUGCGUAGGGGGUGAAGGGAGGCGGGGGUGAAAGCCGGCAGCUGAACUGAGGAACGGCGCCCGAAACUGCUGUGCUUGAGGAAGAUAGAGGUACGCGGAACUGAGGGUGGAGCGGUGAAAUGCGUUGAUAUCCUAAGGAACACCGGUGGCGAAAGCGGCGUACUGGGUCUUUUCUGACGCUGAGGCACGAAAGCUAGGGUAGCGAACGGGAUUAGAUACCCGAGUAGUC